GAAGCGAACGGGAGCGAAGCCCUCCGCGGGCGCUCCGUGCCGCGAGGGCUGAGGGUGGCGGGGAGCGCUGGAAGGGCUGAGUGCCGCGGAGCUCCGCUCUGCCGGGUUCUGCCCCGCUGCCGGCGCCGGCGCCGCUGCUCACGGCGGGUCGAGCCGCCGCAGCCAGUACGGGGCCGCCUACCAGCCGGCAGCUCUAUAGUAUUUGGCAACCUUCCCCACAAAAUGGUAAGACACUACAGCAAUGGACAUCAUUAAAAAGAGGUACUAGCUACUCCCCUACUGAGAUGAACAGUACAAACAGCAUGUGAAAAUGUCAAAUGAAAACAAGAUGAAAAGUGAGGUCUGUACCUGUCAUACACUGUUCGCUGCGCUCAAGGACUGCAGUGUCUAGAGAGCACAGUUUGCUGAGGACAUCACUGCUACCAUGCAGGUCUGGUUCGAUUUGUUUGCCAUAUAAGAGUAUUACAUUAUCAUCAACAAGUGAAAGCUUUGGUGAGUCCAAAUGUCAGCAUUGUAAAGAGACAUUUGUCUUGCAAGUCUGUAAUGUAAUUUUGAUAUAACCUGCAGAAGGUUAAUGUAUAGUAAGAGGGGAUGAUUUUGCAAAGUUUUGUGCCCAUUAUCUGUUUUUCUUGAGACCACAGACUGCAUUUACUGGAAAUAGUCCUAUGCAUUAUUUCAGUGCAGAACAAGAGGUUUUAUGAGGCUCCUUCUGCUGUGCAAAGCCCUGCAGAGACUUGCUAUAUCUAUUUUGUAAAUCAUGCUCUUUCAUAUUGCCUGCACUGGGUACUCCACAGGUAACCAGCUCCACUGGUCAGCCAUCCUAACUUCCACUUACAUCCUUACUGUUAGUGCUAUGUGGUAGAUGGGAAUCUCUAAAGUCUGAAAGUGCCAGAACAUCCAUGGAAGCCUCAACAUUUUAAUG